UCCCUGGAGGACUAGUGGUUAGGCCUUGGCACUCUCAACGUUGUGGCCGAGGUUGGAUUCCCAGGCAGGGAA